CGGGAAUAGGCCUGCGCAGGGAGGCUUGCCUCAGUUUCCCCAGCACUAUCUUCUGUAGAGGGCUGCAGACAGGGAACCGGCUAAGACCUAGUCGGAUAGUUUCUACCCUCCCUGCGCGAGCGCCCCCGAGUCUGAUCGAGGCUCCUUUCCCGCGCGUCACGAUUCCGCGGGCCCUUGAACAUUCGGCCUUGCGUUCGAGCCUCUCGGUGCUCCACUGGAAAGACUCGGGGUCCUACUCCCUUCUCGAGAAUGGACUGCUCAGCCUGCCGCUGAGCUUCACUGCGCAGGCGCGGGGGCAGCCCGCGAGCAAGGCGGAAGAGCCGGUCCCCGCGGCUCUAGGCGGCGGAGGGCCUCCUGGCCAAUGACAUGAAGGAGGCGGGGUGUGGGCUCCGCCCGCCGUGGCUGAGCGCUACGCGAGUGGGAGGUGCUUUACGAGGGUGGGGUGUAGGGAGCUUCAAAGGCUUUGCACGCCGUGAUUUUUCUGGUCUGCGGAAGCUGAGCAAACGAGAGGCGGGUUUAGGACCGGAAGCAGGAAGGAGCGCGCAGGAAGCCGAGCGCCGCGGCCAGUCUGGCUGUGGGUUUGUCGGUCCUCUGGGCAGUAUGGAGAAGCUGCGGCUCCUGGGCCUCCGCUACCAGGAGUACGUGACUCGUCACCCGGCGGCCACGGCCCAGCUGGAGACUGCAGUGCGGGGCCUCAGUUACCUGCUGGCAGGUCGCUUCUCCGAUUCGCACGAGCUGUCAGAGUUGGUGUACUCUGCCUCUAACCUGCUUGUGUUGCUCAAUGAUGGCAUCCUUCGGAAGGAGCUUCGGAAAACACUGCCUGUGUCGCUGUCCCAGCAAAAACUGCUGACAUGGCUGAGCGUGCUGGAGUGUGUGGAGGUGUUCAUGGAGAUGGGGGCUGCCAAGGUGUGGGGUGAAGUGGGCCGUUGGCUUGUCAUCGCCCUCAUCCAGCUGGCAAAAGCUGUUUUACGGAUGUUCCUGCUGAUCUGGUUCAAGACGGGCAUCCAGACCUCACCCCCCAUUGUUCCGCUGGACAGGGAGACCCAGGCCCAACCCUCAGAUGGUGACCACAUUCCAGGCAGCCCAGAGCAGUCAUAUGUGGGGAAGCGGUCAAACCGAGUGGUGAGAACCCUGCAGAACACCCCGUCCCUGCACUCCAGGCACUGGGGAGCCCCCCAGCAGCAGGACAGACGGAAGCAACAGCAGCAGGAGGAGCUGAGUGUCCAGUCAACACCCCUGGGGCUGCAGGAGACCAUUGCAGAAACUUUGUACAUCACCCGGCCCCUACUGCACUUGCUUAGCCUGGGCCUAUGGGGUCAGCGGUCAUGGGCACCUUGGUUGCUGUCUGGUGCAGUGGAUGUGACUAGCCUGAGCCUCCUGAGUGACAGGAAGGGCUUGACUCGAAGGGAGCGGCAGGAGCUACGGCGCCGAACCAUCAUGCUGCUGUACUACCUGCUGCGCUCCCCAUUCUACAAGCGCUUCUCCGAAGCCAAGAUCCUCUUCCUACUACAGCUGCUGGCCGACCAUGUGCCUGGCAUCAGCCUAGUGGCGCGGCCGCUCAUGGAUUACUUGCCUUCCUGGCAGAAAAUUUAUUUCUACAGUUGGGGUUGACAGACAUCCUAGGAGUGAGUGUGAGGAGAGGCAGGUGGCUGCUCCGCCACCCUGGACUAUGGUAUCCGACCCAAGCAUCCGUGGCCCCGACCUCUCCUCUCCCAGGCCCAGCAGCGCAAGCGGGACGGGCCUGACAUGGCUGACUAUUACUACGAUGUACACAUGUGAUGGGAACUCUGGAUAAAGCUAUUUGGACAGCAAA